CCCUUAGAUGUUCUGGGCCGCACGCGCGCUACACUGAUGCAUUCAACGAGUCUAAAACCUGGUCUGAUAGGGCUGGGUAAUCUUUUGAAAGUGCAUCGUGAUUGGGAUAGAUGAUUGCAAUUCUUCAUCUUCAACGAGGAAUGCCUAGUAAACGCAAGUCAUCAGCUUGCAUUGAUUACGUCCCUGCCCUUUGUACACACCGCCCGUCGCUCCUACCGAUUGAAUGAUCCGAUGAAUACCAUGGAUUGAGAGUUCGAAUAGGUUCGCCUAUUUCAGCUUCUCGAGAAGUGGAGGAAAUCUUAUCAUUUAGAGGAAGGAGAAGUCGUAACA
rnacentral:rRNA from 1 species